rfam:Triticum aestivum genome assembly, contig: Triticum_aestivum_CS42_TGACv1_scaffold_577754_7BL
AUUCUACUCCCUCUGUUCCACAAUAAAUGCCUUUUAUUUGUCAAAAUAUAGAUGUAUCUAGACAUGUUUUAGUAUACAGGUACAUCCAUUUUUGGACAAAUGGAAGUCAAGUAUUUUGGAACGGAGGGAGUACACA